UUGCUGAAUUUGUUAGCUCUAGCAGUUUGUUGUGGAUUCUUUGGUAUUUUUUAUAUAGAGAGAAUCAUCUGCAAAUACAGAUAGGUUUAUUCUUCUUUUCCAAUUUGGAUGCCUUUUCUUUCUCUUGACUAAUUGCUCUGUUCAGAACUUCCAGUACAGUAUUGAGUGGCAGUGUGAAGUGAGCAUCCUUGCCUCGUUCCUGAUCUUAGGGGGGAAGUCUUUCACCAUUGAGCAUGAUAUUAGUUGUGGCUUUUCCCAAAAAUGCCCUUUAUCAUAUUAAGGAAAUUCCCUUCUAUCCUUAAUGUGCUGAUUGUUUUGAUCAUGAAAGAGUGAGCCCAUUUUUUUUAAAGUGAAAGUUUGGCUCAAAGUAAUAAAGUGCUGACCUGAAAGAA
rnacentral:sRNA from 1 species